rnacentral:rRNA from 1 species
GAUGAGUAGGGCGGGACACGUGGUAUCCUGUCUGAAUAUGGGGGGACCAUCCUCCAAGGCUAAAUACUCCUGACUGACCGAUAGUGAACCAGUACCGUGAGGGAAAGGCGAAAAGAACCCCGGCGAGGGGAGUGAAAAAGAACCUGAAACCGUGUACGUACAAGCAGUGGGAGCACGCUUAGGCGUGUGACUGCGUACCUUUUGUAUAAUGGGUCAGCGACUUAUAUUCUGUAGCAAGGUUAACCGAAUAGGGGAGCCGAAGGGAAACCGAGUCUUAACUGGGCGUUAAGUUGCAGGGUAUAGACCCGAAACCCGGUGAUCUAGCCAUGGGCAGGUUGAAGGUUGGGUAACACUAACUGGAGGACCGAACCGACUAAUGUUGAAAAAUUAGCGGAUGACUUGUGGCUGGGGGUGAAAGGCCAAUCAAACCGGGAGAUAGCUGGUUCUCCCCGAAAGCUAUUUAGGUAGCGCCUCGUGAAUUCAUCUCCGGGGGUAGAGCACUGUUUCGGCAAGGGGGUCAUCCCGACUUACCAACCCGAUGCAAACUGCGAAUACCGGAGAAUGUUAUCACGGGAGACACACGGCGGGUGCUAACGUCCGUCGUGAAGAGGGAAACAACCCAGACCGCCAGCUAAGGUCCCAAAGUCAUGGUUAAGUGGGAAACGAUGUGGGAAGGCCCAGACAGCCAGGAUGUUGGCUUAGAAGCAGCCAUCAUUUAAAGAAAGCGUAAUAGCUCACUGGUCGAGUCGGCCUGCGCGGAAGAUGUAACGGGGCUAAACCAUGCACCGAAGCUGCGGCAGCGACGCUUAUGCGUUGUUGGGUAGGGGAGCGUUCUGUAAGCCUGCGAAGGUGUGCUGUGAGGCAUGCUGGAGGUAUCAGAAGUGCGAAUGCUGACAUAAGUAACGAUAAAGCGGGUGAAAAGCCCGCUCGCCGGAAGACCAAGGGUUCCUGUCCAACGUUAAUCGGGGCAGGGUGAGUCGACCCCUAAGGCGAGGCCGAAAGGCGUAGUCGAUGGGAAACAGGUUAAUAUUCCUGUACUUGGUGUUACUGCGAAGGGGGGACGGAGAAGGCUAUGUUGGCCGGGCGACGGUUGUCCCGGUUUAAGCGUGUAGGCUGGUUUUCCAGGCAAAUCCGGAAAAUCAAGGCUGAGGCGUGAUGACGAGGCACUACGGUGCUGAAGCAACAAAUGCCCUGCUUCCAGGAAAAGCCUCUAAGCAUCAGGUAACAUCAAAUCGUACCCCAAACCGACACAGGUGGUCAGGUAGAGAAUACCAAGGCGCUUGAGAGAACUCGGGUGAAGGAACUAGGCAAAAUGGUGCCGUAACUUCGGGAGAAGGCACGCUGAUAUGUAGGUGAAGUCCCUUGCGGAUGGAGCUGAAAUCAGUCGAAGAUACCAGCUGGCUGCAACUGUUUAUUAAAAACACAGCACUGUGCAAACACGAAAGUGGACGUAUACGGUGUGACGCCUGCCCGGUGCCGGAAGGUUAAUUGAUGGGGUCAGCGCAAGCGAAGCUCUUGAUCGAAGCCCCGGUAAACGGCGGCCGUAACUAUAACGGUCCUAAGGUAGCGAAAUUCCUUGUCGGGUAAGUUCCGACCUGCACGAAUGGCGUAAUGAUGGCCAGGCUGUCUCCACCCGAGACUCAGUGAAAUUGAACUCGCUGUGAAGAUGCAGUGUACCCGCGGCAAGACGGAAAGACCCCGUGAACCUUUACUAUAGCUUGACACUGAACAUUGAGCCUUGAUGUGUAGGAUAGGUGGGAGGCUUUGAAGUGUGGACGCCAGUCUGCAUGGAGCCGGCCUUGAAAUACCACCCUUUAAUGUUUGAUGUUCUAACGUGGACCCGUGAUCCGGGUUGCGGACAGUGUCUGGUGGGUAGUUUGACUGGGGCGGUCUCCUCCUAAAGAGUAACGGAGGAGCACGAAGGUUGGCUAAUCCUGGUCGGACAUCAGGAGGUUAGUGCAAUGGCAUAAGCCAGCUUGACUGCGAGCGUGACGGCGCGAGCAGGUGCGAAAGCAGGUCAUAGUGAUCCGGUGGUUCUGAAUGGAAGGGCCAUCGCUCAACGGAUAAAAGGUACUCCGGGGAUAACAGGCUGAUACCGCCCAAGAGUUCAUAUCGACGGCGGUGUUUGGCACCUCGAUGUCGGCUCAUCACAUCCUGGGGCUGAAGUAGGUCCCAAGGGUAUGGCUGUUCGCCAUUUAAAGUGGUACGCGAGCUGGGUUUAGAACGUCGUGAGACAGUUCGGUCCCUAUCUGCCGUGGGCGCUGGAGAACUGAGGGGGGCUGCUCCUAGUACGAGAGGACCGGAGUGGACGCAUCACUGGUGUUCGGGUUGUCAUGCCAAUGGCACUGCCCGGUAGCUAAAUGCGGAAGAGAUAAGUGCUGAAAGCAUCUAAGCACGAAACUUGCCCCGAGAUGAGUUCU